GCCACAUGAUGCAUGUAAAUAGAUUGCACUAGCACUAUGUGCAAAGAUGACUCCUUAUCUAUCACCCUUGUCUGAUGGCU
ensembl:snoRNA SNORD83 Small nucleolar RNA SNORD83